rnacentral:rRNA from 1 species
GACGAACGCUGGCGGCGUGCCUAAUACAUGCAAGUAGAACGCUGAAGAGAGGAGCUUACUCUUCUUGGAUGAGUUGCGAACGGGUGAGUAACGCGUAGGUAACCUGCCUUGUAGCGGGGGAUAACUAUUGGAAACGAUAGCUAAUACCGCAUAACAAUGGAUGACACAUGUCAUUUAUUUGAAAGGGGCAAUUGCUCCACUACAAGAUGGACCUGCGUUGUAUUAGCUAGUAGGUGAGGUAAUGGCUCACCUAGGCGACGAUACAUAGCCGACCUGAGAGGGUGAUCGGCCACACUGGGACUGAGACACGGCCCAGACUCCUACGGGAGGCAGCAGUAGGGAAUCUUCGGCAAUGGGGGCAACCCUGACCGAGCAACGCCGCGUGAGUGAAGAAGGUUGUCGGAUCGUAAAGCUCUGUUGUAAGUCAAGAACGGGUGUGAGAGUGGAAAGUUCACACUGUGACGGUAGCUUAACAGAAAGGGACGGCUAACUACGUG